AUAUUUACCUGGCAGGGGAGAUACCAUGAUCUCAAAGGUGGUUUUCUAGGGUGAGGCUUAUCCAUUGCACUCCAGAUGUGCUGACCCCUGUGAUGUUCCCAAAUGUGGGAAUUCGACUCCAUAAUUUUGGUAAUGGGAGACUGCAUUCGGGCUCUCACCUA
rfam:Erinaceus europaeus unplaced genomic scaffold scaffold00830, whole genome shotgun sequence